UGACAGUUUGGAGAAGUCCUAGCCUCAACCGAACAUGAUGAGGACAUAAUUAUAGCAGAGAUUGAUUAUUCAAUACUUGAGCAACGAAGGAUGAAUCUCCCUUUGGCAAAGCAACGGCGUGGUGAUCUCUACCAGUUGGUAGAUAUUCAGCGACAAAAUGCCGAUUGAUUCGAGAAGAGAACCAUGUAAAGAGCUGUGGUUAAUGGUGAGAAUUUUCUUUAAGAAAGGUUGAGCUCUACUAAAAAUCAUGGGA